AGUCCCGCAACGAGCGCAACCCUUGAUCUUAGUUGCCAGCAUUCAGUUGGGCACUCUAAGGUGACUGCCGGUGACAAACCGGAGGAAGGUGGGGAUGACGUCAAAUCAUCAUGCCCCUUAUGACCUGGGCUACACACGUGCUACAAUGGACAGAACAAAGGGCAGCGAAACCGCGAGGUUAAGCCAAUCCCACAAAUCUGUUCUCAGUUCGGAUCGCAGUCUGCAACUCGACUGCGUGAAGCUGGAAUCGCUAGUAAUCGCGGAUCAGCAUGCCGCGGUGAAUACGUUCCCGGGCCUUGUACACACCGCCCGUCACACCACGAGAGUUUGUAACACCCGAAGUCGGUGAGGU
rnacentral:rRNA from 1 species